AGUGAACGCUGGCGGUAGGCCUAACACAUGCAAGUCGAACGGCAGCACAGUAAGAGCUUGCUCUUACGGGUGGCGAGUGGCGGACGGGUGAGGAAUACAUCGGAAUCUACUUUUUCGUGGGGGAUAACGUAGGGAAACUUACGCUAAUACCGCAUACGACCUACGGGUGAAAGCAGGGGAUCUUCGGACCUUGCGCGAUUGAAUGAGCCAAUGUCGGAUUAGCUAGUUGGCGGGGUAAAGGCCCACCAAGGCGACGAUCGGUAGCUGGUCUGAGAGGAGGAACAGCCACACUGGAACUGAGACACGGUCCAGACUCCUACGGGAGGCAGCAGUGGGGAAUAUUGGACAAUGGGCGCAAGCCUGAUCCAGCCAUACCGCGUGGGUGAAGAAGGCCUUCGGGUUGUAAAGCCCUUUUGUUGGGAAAGAAAAGCAGCAGGUUAAUACCCCGCUGUUCUGACGGUACCCAAAGAAUAAGCACCGGCUAACUUCGUG
rnacentral:rRNA from 1 species